rnacentral:rRNA from 1 species
CAGUCGCCACGGUAAUACGUAGGGCGCAAGCGUUAUCCGGAAUUAUUGGGCGUAAAGAGCUCGUAGGCGGUUUGUCGCGUCUGCCGUGAAAGUCCGGGGCUCAACCCCGGAUCUGCGGUGGGUACGGGCAGACUAGAGUGAUGUAGGGGAGACUGGAAUUCCUGGUGUAGCGGUGAAAUGCGUAGAGAUGUGGAGGAACACCAGUGGCGAAGGCGACUCUCUGGUCUGUAACUGACGCUGAGGAGCGAAAGCGUGGGGAGCGAACAGGAUUAGAUACCCGUGUGUCCCUGUCUCUUAUACA